AGUGAACGCUGGCGGUAGGCCUAACACAUGCAAGUCGAACGGCAGCACAGUAAGAGCUUGCUCUUACGGGUGGCGAGUGGCGGACGGGUGAGGAAUACAUCGGAAUCUACUUUUUCGUGGGGGAUAACGUAGGGAAACUUACGCUAAUACCGCAUACGACCUACGGGUGAAAGCAGGGGAUCUUCGGACCUUGCGCGAUUGAAUGAGCCGAUGUCGGAUUAGCUAGUUGGCGGGGUAAAGGCCCACCAAGGCGACGAUACGUAGCUGGUCUGAGAUGAUGAUCAGCCACACUGGAACUGAGACACGGUCCAGACUCCUACGGGCAGCAGCAGUGGGGAAUAUUGGACCAUGGGCGCAAGCCUGAUCCAGCCAUACCGCGUGGGUGAAGAAGGCCUUCGGGUUGUAAAGCCCUUUUGUUGGGAAAGAAAAGCAGCAGGUUAAUACCCCGCUGUUCUGACGGUACCCAAAGAAUAAGCACCGGCUAACUUCGUG
rnacentral:rRNA from 1 species